CUUAGUGAAACAAAGUGUGCUGUUCUCUGCCUGACAGGAAGAGCCUGACACCUCUGGCUGAAUGAUGUAAGCAAUUCAUCAGAAGCAGAUACGAGAAAGCGACGGAUGAUUCCGUGCAAGCCAAAUCAUGCCUCUGAGUCGGGCAUGGAGAGCAAAGUAUCUGUUUCAUGAGUGCAUAGAAAAAGUGGCCAACAGCCAACGGUGUGGCUGCAGCUGAAAAUUUUGUAUAUGGAGGAUUUGGGAGCAACAGAAGUGGUGGCUCUGGCUACGGAGAGGAAAAGCCCACCUCCAAAAAUACACACUGCAGCGACUGCUGUGAUGAACCAAAAGCAUUCUGUGCCAGAAAGGCUUCGCAGAAUGCACUCAUCUACCCAUGAAGAGUUUCUGAAGGCCACGUUCCAAGAGGCUGACUCAGACACGGCGGCCUGUGUCGGCAGAGCCUGGAGAGCGGCGAGCCCCUGGCCUGCGGCUGGGGGCUGGUGACCUGGGGGAGAGCAGCUGCCAGCACCGUGACAGCUGGAGAUACAGACUGUCGUCAUGCAGGUUGAUUCCGCUGCACAGAUCUGCUGAAUAUCUGCAUCUGUGAAGGCUGAUAAGUGAUGAAUUAGAUGCUCUUCCAGUGGGGCAUCUCUGUAAUGAACAGUUUUAUUUAAGUGUGACUGAACAAUGCCAGUGGAAUCUUGACUACACAUUCUUUCCAGAAGAGUCAUCAGUUUUGAGUGAACUAUGUUUUUUCACAAUUAUGUUUUUCUUUGAAGAAACCAAUGAAAUAGCAGUGUUCCUCUGAAGAAAAAAGGUGACUUUAUCUAUCUUCUGUGAAUAGUUUCAAUCAUUCAGUCCUUAACGCUAACAGUGCUGAAACCGUUAUACAGUUAUGCAUUCAUAGAUUCAUUUCUCCAAAUCAGAUGAUGCUUUCACAGUUAAGUUCUUAAGUAGUACUGAAGUGGAGGAGUGUGUACACAGAUGUGUGCUUUGCAGAUCUUUGGUGGGUCCUGCAGCCACACCCAGUGGAAAAACGCUAAUCCUUCAAGUCUUUCCAGAAGAAACCGGCAUUCUUGCUCUGUGCUGGAAAACAGGGCUUGAUUAAUGUCAGGUCCUUGUCUUAGGGUUGCUGCAUGAGCUUCUGUUCAGCAUUAUCUUUACUGUGUCGUUUCAACUAUUUCCUUUGGCAGCCUGGGAAACAUUCCUCAGGCUUUAGCAGAUGUGCGCUUGUGUUUAUCGUGUUCGCCAUUGUUACACUGUUUGUGCGAGGCGUGGUUUGGAUCGUGACCGUGACUUGCUUUAAGGAAAGCAGGAAGGGUCAAAGGAGAUUAUUAAAGUAGGUAAAACCACAUUGUGUCCACUGAAAUGCUUUUCUUCUGUGUCACAGACUUCUAGGGGAAUUCACAGAAAUAACAUUUCUCAUUUCAUCACACAGGGAGUCUUUCUGGAUAGUCGCCUCGUCUAUGUAUUGCAGCACCUUGGUACUUUUCUGCUGAAGGCGUAUCAAGCAAGCGUUUGAUGUUCUGAGAACCUCUAGUUCAUAACUGUUCUCGGUAGGGGCGGGCAAAUCUGUAUUUUACCUACUUGUACCCUCCUCUGACUCGGGCAUUCCUCACUAUGCCUCCUGAACAUUCUCCUGCACGCUGCUGUCUUCACAUCAUGAGUUAUGUACCUCCCUGCUCCUCAUCUCCCUCCUCCAGGAUCUGAUGAUGCAGGUCCUGUUGCCUGUUCUUCUGGGGAACCUCCCCUUCAUCCUUAUGUUGUGUUUUCCUCAUUUAAGGCUCCUGUUUUGGAACUAGGGAAGCCCUUUCCACGUCAAUGCGAGGAUAUUGUUGUCAGCAGGUGAUUCCGUGACCGCAGGACAAUCUCUGGGGGAUUUGACUCAUGCUGUAAAAAAAUGUCGUGAUUUCCUCUGGCUAUUGAAAACACAAUGCCUCCGUGUA